CCUACGGGAGGCAGCAGUGAGGAAUAUUGGUCAAUGGACGAGAGUCUGAACCAGCCAAGCAGCGUGAAGGAGGACUGCCCAAUGUGUUGUAAACUUCUUUUAUCUGGGAAUAAAACAUGGUACGCGUACCCUGUUGUAUGUACCUUAUGAAUAAGCAUCGGCUAACUCCGUGCCAGCAGCCGCGGUAAUACGGAGGAUCCGAGCGUUAAUCGGAGUUACUGGGUGUAAAGGGAGCGUAGGUGGUAUGUUAAGUCAAGUGUGAAAGUUUGGGGCUCAACCGUGGAAUUGCAGUUGAAACUGGCAGUCUUGAGUAUAGUAGAGGAGAGCGGAAUUCGUGGUGUAGCGGUGAAAUGCUUAGAUAUCUCGAAGAACAUCGAUUGCGAAGGCAGCUAACUGGACUACAACUGACGCUGAUGCUCGAAAGUGUGGGUAUCAAACAGGAUUAGAUACCCUAGUAGUC
rnacentral:rRNA from 1 species